CUAGUGAUGGCGUGUCUCAGCGGAAGGAUAUGCACCAGAAAGCAGUGUGUGACGCGUGCUGGGCGGAGGAAUACAGUGUGUUGCCUGCGCAACUACACUCCAAAAAAAUGGCAUUUUCUUACGUUUUUACGGGUCCUCAGCUUCCGAGUUGAUUAUAUUUUAAAUUUUAUAUAUUUAUUAUUUAUUUAUUUUUUAACCUCCUUGGGGUGCGGAGGUUAUAUAUAUUUUCUGUCCCCCGACAUGUAAAAACGCAUGUAUCCAGGUGGACUGACAUUGUGCUGCCCUCCCUUGUAGUACUGUUGCUUUAAGAGCAAGCAACUCUGGAGGGAGGGGGAAAUCUUGCGAGAGUACGUAGUGGGGCUCCCGCGAGAUCAGGAAGUAAUGCCGGCAAGGUGGCUAGCAUCACAACUUGGGACUGUCUUGUGGAAAAUCGCUGUCAACACUAAUAAAAGGUUGUGUGCUAACCGCAAUAUUGGCCAAUAUUGGAGGGACGUGCUGAGCAGCAGUGCAGAGGGGAGAGUGUUACUUGCCAAGUGUGCACCAGCUCCUGUUCAACACACUGGAAGAAGAAGUGCAAUUUUUGGGGUGUUGGUGCAAGUCAGGAUAACCGGCACCUAGUAGGACCAAUAUUGAGCGCUAGGGACAGAGGAAAGCAAGUAGCAGUGUUCACCUUCACUUGCCAAUCAGUUGUCAUGAAUGCUGAACAUUCCAUGUCCAGUCGGGAAUAAACACCCACAUAAAAUGUUGUGCUUGGUCCGGUCCUUCCAUCGACCCGGCCACAUACAAUUACAAAUGGGAAUAAUAACACUCAUUUUACCUAAAUUAAGAAAAAAAUAGCACAAAGUUUAAAUCAUAUAGAAUUUUUUUUAAGUAUGAUGAGAAACAAAACAAAAGUAGCAAUUUUAGGAAAAUUAUCCUAAAACUUAAAAGUUAAAAUACAAUUAUGAAGUCAAAAUAUAUAAUGUUACAAGAAAAAACAUUAAAAUAAAGUUUAAAUAAAAAAAAAAAUAAAGGGAAAAAUGAGCAAAGAGAGGACAAAAAGUUCAUAAUGAGAAUCAAAACAAAGAAUAAAGUAGCAAUUUUAGGAAAAUUAUCCUGGAUAAAAGUUAAAAUGUUGCAAUUAUAAAGUCAAGAGAUAAAAUAUUACAAAAAAGCAUUAAAAGAAAGUUUAAAUAUAAAAAAAUAAACGGAAAAAUGAGCGAAAAGAGGACAAAAAGUUCAUAAUGAGAAACAAAACAAAGAAUAAAGUAGCAAUUUUAGGAAAAUUAUCCUGGGUUAAAGUAAAAAUGUUACAAUUUUAAAGUCAAAAGAUAAAAUAUUACAAGAAAAAACAUUAAAAGAAAGAUGCAGGCUGUGUUUUCUUAAAAAAAAUUUUUUUUUAAAUGUGUCCGCAUAUCUACGUACAUGGCUUGGUUAAAAAAAAAUUUAAAGUGACCCCCACACUUUUUCCGUAUGCAGCCCUAAAAAGUUAGGACACCCCCUGCGAUAUCAGCACAAAUCCCACUUAUUACUUGUUUAGUCCCGUGGAAUAUUAAAAGGCAUGACCAAGUGAUAUUACUCAAACAGAGAACAACAGUGAGCACCCAUUUUUUGCUCUUAAUUACCAGUUUUCAUCUUAUUUUAAGGCUUUCAAACGACACAAGGUUCCACCAUAUUUGCUAAUUGCCUAAAGUCAACGUGAGGUCAAAUCCAAAUAGCGUUGGUAAGUAUGUCGCUUUGAACUAAAAAGGUUUGAUUGCCCUGCGAGCUGUAUACAUGAAAGGGAAGCGGGCCAGAUGUUGAGUCAGUCCUUACAAAGAAGCAUUUCUUCCUCUUGCAUAUGUAUCAUGUGUACAUGUGUACAUGUCACAUAGAGGAAAUGUUGCAGAUUGUGGUUUUAAAACCGGGUCCACCAUUAAUCUAUGCAUCAAAUAUGUAAAAAAAAACAAGAACAGCAGCAUAUAUUUCCUAUGAAGCUACGCACAAUGUGGCUCGCACUGUGUUAACUUUUGCCUUUUGAUGAUGCACGGCAGCUUUUUUUUUUUUUUUUACGAGCUAAAGCAAACCUAAAUCACUUCAAGCGGACAAGCUUGGAUCCGAGACAAAAAUGUGUGUUUACUGUAUCGAGUUACUGCUGCUGCAGAGCUACUGAGGCGACCGCAGCCCAGUGGCUUUUCACCAAAUGCAAACACAUACACAAAGUGCACAGACACAGAGGCAGCAGCCGGCCCGAGAGUGGGCGGAGCACUGCCUGGGCGGAGCACGCCAGAUGACCGUUUGCGUGCGUGAGCCUUUAAAAAAAGAAGUAUCAAAUACCGUCUGAUGUGCGUUUGACGUAAGAGAGUGAAAACUGGGGUCAGCUUUCUACAGCUGCUUAAGUUCUGCUGGCUCCGGCGGAGAGAACUUGUAUAUUUUGUCUUUAUAGCCGCACCUCGUUCCCAAUACGCGCUAGGAGUGAUCUUCUCAUUACAAAUAUCCAAUCCCUGCCAGCUUGAACAAGACCCAUACAUCUUCCUUACCAGACAGUGACAGAUAGAUUAAUCUAGUGAGCUCGAUCCCGAUGCUGUGAGAGCAUCCGUUAGAUAAUGACUCACUGAUGAAAUAUCUAAGACAGUCAUUUUAAUAUCCAUGCAUAACCUGGAAAAAUGUAGCAGAACAAUCUAAGAUGCUGAUCUAGGGUCAGCUCGGUCGUUUCCCUACAGGUGUUUCUUGAGCUUUAUCUGACAUUAAAUAAAAAAAACUUCUAUAUCUGUGACCGGAAUGGAUGACAGUUAUCGGUAUUAGUUGGAUUAGGGAAAUGUGGGAAACCGAAAGAGCCUUCAGAGUCACGAUUCGAUGGAGAUAAACGUCAGCAAAGUGGAUUAUUUGUGUAAAAACCUUCCUCGCUCCAGUCCUUAAAGUCCUCUAUUGUGCAAAACCGACUUUUUAAUUAUAUUCUAACGGUAUUAUGUGUCGCUAGAGUCUGUUCAUGACCACCAAAAAUAUGAUCAAAUUUAUCAUCUCCCGGACUUAUGAGACAAGAGGCAUUGAAGGUAUUUGCUCAAUUUUGCUAGCUAAAGAUAAACGCAAACACAUAGUCUCACAAAUACAGACAAAAGAUACUUAUACACGCACCCACACAAAAAAAGGACUAAUGUGACAACAGUUAAGAUGGAAAAGCAAAAUGUUCCAGACGUCUUGAUGCCCCAGCAAAGCCUUGAUGCCCCACCAAAGCCUCGAGUGUAUAAAAGGCCGGGCAGGGAAAGGAAGGGUGCUUUUUUUGCAGUUGCGCUGUAAUAAGACCCACUUACUUGUAGGCAUACAGGGACUGCAGAUAAGCCCGGACGUCUGUAUUAGGUAUUGUUGUCAGGAAUAAAUAAUCUGGUUCUCAUUCUAUAAUUUAGUUCUUUAAGAUUCCCUUAUCCUCUAUUCGAAACCCAGUUAGAGUCCUCAGGGGGAGGAUUUCUACAGCACUCAAAAGGUUGUGGUUUAGGGUGGACAUUAUGUCACCUCUGACACUCCCCUGGUCGUAUAUACUGUACUUGCACUUCACAGAAAACGAUAUUUUAGAGCUGUAAGUAGAUUGGUAGAUUCACCUCAGCAUUUUUCUGCCCUCUGAUUGGUUGAUCAGAGCAAAACAGAGCAGAAGAUGGUGACAAGUUGCCUGCUAACCAUAAAUAACAGAAGAGAAUGCUAGGAUGAAGAGAAAUUUUCUUGAUUUUAUAAUAACAAUAUUCAUCCCAUGUCAGCCGGCCCUGCCAACUAGUUGUGCCUUCAUUAUUUUUCAAGUAGCGAUAACCCUUAAAACUACACAACUCCGUGUUCUCAGUGAGAGCUGAAAAAUGCCGAAAUUGAGAGAUAUCACGUUUAAACCAACCUAUAAUGAGUGCUGCGUUCGCAAACACACACGUGUCAAGACAUGGGUGGUGCACGCAGAGCAGACACUGCCACUUAAGUGUUGACUUUCAUCUGUGUGGGUGGGAGAUGCCGAAAACGCGACCCAAAAUCUGUGCUCUCUGUGAAGUAUUCCAGUUAUUUGGUUUGUUGUAUUUUUGCCCUCAUGACUCACUAGGAAUUAUAAAUCUAGUACUACUACUACUACUACUGCUUCAGAUACAACUGCUGUUUGUUGCUCUAAUUAUGGACAAUCAAUCGGUUUAAUGACUAUCUUGUUUACAAUCUCACCUGACUCACUUGUGGCUAGAAGGGUCAUAUUUAGAGAAACGUUUGUGCUGCUUUAAGGAUAUGUUGAAUUGCGAAACUCUAAAUAUGGGAUAGGCGGCACGGCGGUCAAGUGGUCAGCGUGCAGACCUCACAGCUAGGAGACCAGGGUUCAAUUCCACCCUCGGCCAUCUCUGUGUGGAGUUUGCAUGUUCUCCUCGUGCAUACGUGGGUUUUCUCCGGGUACUCCGGUUUCCUCCCACAUUCCAAAAACAUGCUAGGUUAAUUGGCUAACUCCAAAUUGUCCAUAGGUAUGAAUGUGAGUGUGAAUGGUUGUUUGUCUAGAUGUGCCCUGCGAUUGGCUAGCGACCAGUCCAGGGUGUACCCAGCCUCUCGCCCAAAGACAGCUGGGAUAGGCUCCAGCACCCCCUGCGACCCUUGUGAGGAAAAGCGGUAGGAAAAAAAUGAAUGAAUAAAUAUGGGAUUUACUCCAAUGUGUUCAUAUGGAAAUAAACUCGACUAAAAAAGUACACAAGUCAUACAAUCAAAUAAAAGGAUUGACCGAGUCGUGCUGACCGAGUAUUAACUCAUUCACGUACCCUUGCUGUCGUGUGCUAGCUAAAUUAAAAAGGGAAACGGGUAACAUGGCAACUCUAAUUGCAUUUCUAUAAAUGAAUUGACCUUGUUGAAAAAGCAACAGAGCUGCAUGGUGGAUGAGUGGGUAGUGCACAAUUGUAAAAGUACCAGAUGGAGGGGUAGGAUUUAGUAAGCUUUGCUUCUUCCUACUCCUUUUGGACAUGUGGUACUGUGAACUGAUUAUGGGAUGCAUUCAAUUGUAAUCUGAUGCAUGUUCAAAUGAAAUCAAACCAUUACCAUUACCAUUACUUUGGCCGGAAACAUGAGAUGUGAGAAUGACAGUAAAGCAAAAAUGUAUUCAUCAGGGGAAUCAAGGCGCUAGUUUAGCGCCCUGGUCCAGAGAUUGAACCUGCGGGCUGGAUGUGUGUGAGCGUGUCAGACAGGCUGCUGGCAGGCCACACAUAAAAACAGAGCUCCUGUUUUUGAGUGGAGCUGACUCAUGCCACCUUGAGCAAACAGGGCGCAACAGACCGGAGCCUUGUCCUUCCACACACACACACACACACACACGUUUCUCCUGCAUCUGUAAAUUGGCUUUGAUACACACACUUGUGUCUGAUUCACUACUGACCUUCUGCAAAACUGGAGACUCUACAAGUUGAAUAACCUAAUAGCAUAAUGUGUGUGAGAAAUAGUGCCUAUUAUGGUGAAAUCACUUAACAAAACUUCUUUGUUUCUCCACUUCCAGUAAGAGCAGACGGUAGGGAUUGAGAAAUAGAACCAAUGAUGGCAUUUACGGGAAGAUGGAAUCCUGAAAACAGACACGGAACCUAGUUUCAGUGGUCCUGGGAGAAGGCGAAGGAAGGGGCGUCUUGUCCACAUAAAUACUUACUUCCUGUCCCAUGUCCGACAGGGAGCCUGAGACCAUUGUAUAUUUGUGUAUGCGUGUUGUGUGUGUCUGAGAGGAAGCACGGAGCAGCAUGGUGGCCGCACUUCAAAAAGACCUUCGCCAAGUGACCUAAAUGCAUGACCUACGCCUCGGUCUGCGAGCGGACGGCCCGCAGCAGCAGCAGCAUGGCUCGGACUAAUGGGCUCUAACGCUGUUUGGUGCCGUAUUACCAUAGUAACCUCAAAAGCCAUUUCCUGUCGGUGCGUUUCACCCUGGCGCGGUUGCCCACCUGCUUUAGCAUGUUUCACCUCGGAGGAAAACACGGUCGCAUUGCAGUACAUCAGUAACACCGCAUGUCUGUGGCACAUUCAUGCGAGGGAAAUCAAACGCAUUACACAAUGUAUGCACAAUGUAUAUGAUGUAUUAUUAAGUCGGUCUCAAGUCUACUCCUAAAUAUCAAGUCAAGUCUCAAGUCAAGCCGUGCAAGUCAGGUCGAGUCAUGUCAGAAGUCAUAGGCUUGAAAUGUUUAAAUCCUAUUUAGUGUCUCUCCCCAAAAAAUGCAACUACAGUAAACCUCGGAUAUAUCGGAUUCAAUUGUUCCCACUGGUUUUGUCCGAUAUAAGCGAAAUCCGUUAUAUGCGUAUACCGGAAAAUGUCCGUUUUACGCAUAUAUCGGAUUUAUAUCCGGUAUAUGCGUAAAUCGGAUUUUAUCCGUUAUAAAAAGGCACUUCCUUGACUAUGUUUCCAAUGUACCUGGACGCGCAGGCAACGCUGCAAACGCUGCAAAUGACGUCGUAUAGCGGCCUGUCACGAUUCUGCGAAUCGGAGCGCCACGAUGCGGCCAUCCGAUAUAUGCCAGGGAAAUUUAAUGGAAAUGCAUUGGAACGGGACUGGAGAUUUUGUCCGAAAUAGGUGAAAUCCGUUAUAAAAAAUCCGAUAUAUGCAAUGAAUUUUUAUUGGAAAUGCAUUACAGAAAAAUUGGUUCUUUUUUAUCUGUCCGUUGUGAGCGAAUUUCCGAUAUAUCCGAGUCCGAUAUAUCCGAGGUUUACUGUAUUAUAUUUAGCAAAUGCAACAAAAUGAUUUUCAUUUGCACUGGUUUGCACAAGGACAUAAAUAAACUGCACCGUACUAUAAACCACAUGCGUCCACGUCAAAAAGUAACAUAUUGACCGUGAGGACCACACAGCUCUUUAUUUGACAGCAGACAAUCAUUAGCUAUCAGGAAACAAGUUUGUCAACCCAUCGGAACUCACAGAAUGUCAUUACUAUAAUGUCAAGACUAUAAUCAUCACACAGCAACUUAACACUCAAAAGGUAGCUAGGAAAUAUACACGGUACCAGGUACUAAUAUGAGUUUAAAAUCAUAAAAAAAAACAUCUAUUUUAUCUAUCUGUUCACUGGCCACUGGGUGGAUGGGUGACCAGUGGAUGAAGUAGUCUGGACUUCACUGCUUAGGCUGCUGCCUUCACGAUGGAUGGAUGGAUGGAUGGAUGGGCUGUGGCAUUCCGCUUUCAUUCACAUUUACUCUCGUGGCCCCACCUCCAACCAUUGAGAACAAAUUUUGCUUUGUUCAAUACUGAAUAUUGAAUUUUUAGCAAAUUUUCUUUCUUGUCUUAUUAUCACUACUUCCUGCUACUGCUGUGGUGUGUAAUAAAGUAACAAUUUAAUGCACAGUGGGUGCUAGAUUCUCAACAAACUCUCUUCAAAAAAACAUCUAAGUUAACUAGGAGUUGAACUUGUGACUUGAUGAGCGAGAAGCCUCACUCCAUUAUCAGGCUGAUGGAGGCCAGAAUGCAGGCCACAUCUAUCUGUGUGUCCUAUCUGUGUCAGGUCAGGUGGGAAUGAGACUCUUUCUCCAUCGUCGCGUUGGCUGUCUCUCCUUAGACUCGUCUUUUAGAUGGAGGAGUGUCAGCAGAGAUUGGUGCGGCCGACGUCCCCCGUGGACAACUGUUAAUGAUGUCCUCGCUCACGCACCGCACCUCGCAGAUAAGGCCGCGGCGUACGGCGAGGUGAAGCAGAAUAAUUGGCGUAACUCGGACUCGGCCUUGUCUCGUCAUCUCUUUCUGAUUCUUGGCUCGCGCUCUCAAGUCAGUGUAGCGAAUAGCUCAUUUCACACUGUGAUUCUUUCUCUCCGAUUCGGAGCUGCUAGCUGCCAGAUUGAGUUGAAAAGAACAGGAUUAAAUAUUUUUUCCAGAUGUGAUGAGAAGUUGUAGGAUUGGAUAUCUUUGUCUGGGCUGUUUGCAAUGGCGUCAUUUGGGCUUCGGUUCAAACAUCAAACAAUGGUCAUCUUGAUGCCAGAACUACGGUGGCCAUAUGUCCUUUCAUCACAUGUCCUCUUUUUGGUACCUAAAAAAAGCAUCAUUGUUAUUAUUCCAAGUAUUCUUAGAUCACAGUAUGUCAUGUAUGGUCAUAACACCUUGUACCCCCGUACGAGGUACGAGGUACAUUAUUUGAAAACAAACAAACAAACAAAAAAAAAACCUUAAACUGUAUUAUGGAAAGCAGGAAGUGAACAAAUGUAACAGUUACUGAUUGUAAAAGUACCAGAUGGAGGGGUAGGAUUUAAUAAGCUUUGCUUCUUCCUACUCCUUUUGGACAUGUGGAACUGGGAACUGAUUACGGGAUGCAUUCAAAUUUUGCCCACACUGGCAAGUACAGCGGAUCGGGGACCGGGGCUUUAUGGUCGCCGCCUGACGGAUGAUCACAUCCGAUGAUCACCCUGCCAAGUGUUCGGCCCCAAAUGUCGCACCAAUCUAAAGCUUAAAGUAAGGCGUCACAGGAUUAUAUCACAGGAAGUCCAACACAGGCAGGAAGUUCUGGAUGCUGCACCAGGGGCGGAGUAUUAGAAGUAUUGGCUUUUUUCACUGAUAUCAGCCAAUACCGAUCGGUGGCCGAUCGAUUGGAGCACCCUUAGUAGCCAGUGUUAUAAUUACCUUUUAUUAUUAAUUUAAUUCAUGAUUAUAAUUUAAAACCUGCAGUAAAAGCCAGUUGAUCAAGUCGGCUGCUUUUUUCACCGACCAAUUAAUGACACCUAGUGACCAAUGUAGCGUACUACAUUCACAAUUUGAAUGCGUAAUACGAUGCAAAAUGCAUGAAAUUGGCUAAAACUUGCAUUUUCUAAAUAAUAGACCAUAGUCAACCACAAAACAUAGUGGUUAGUGAGCAGGCCUCACAGCUAGGAGACCCGAGUUCAAUUCCACCCUCGGGCAUCUCUGUGUGGAGUUUUGCAGGUUUUCUUUGGGUACUCCGGUUUCCUCCCACAUUCCAAAAACAUGCUAGGUUAAUUAGCGACUCCAAAUUGUCCAUAGGUAUGAAUGUGAGUGUG